GUGAAUCAUCGAAUUUUUGAACGCAAAUUGCACUCUCUUCGGAGAGUAUGGCUGUUUGAGGGUCAGCCUCUAAAAAAUCGACAUCGUUGCGGUUUUGCGGUGGCGUUCGUCGGAUAUUGGGUAAUCUUAAAUAAUUUUGAUUUAAGCGACUUAAAAUUUUCUUUUGGUUCCAUGAACGUUUCUAAGAUCUAUUUCUUUACACGUUUAAGGGUAUCGAUUUUUAUUAGACGUGACCAUCAUAUCGGAUCGAGUCCAUAAUCUUUAAUUAACUG
rnacentral:misc_RNA from 1 species